rnacentral:tRNA from 1 species
GCCGGUGUGGCUCGGUGGCUAGAGCAUCGGUCUGUGGCUGAAGGGUCCCGGGUUCGAUUCCCGGUCGGGGCA